rnacentral:rRNA from 1 species
GAUGAACGCUGGCGGCGUGCCUAAUACAUGCAAGUCGAGCGAACAGACGAGGAGCUUGCUCCUCUGACGUUAGCGGCGGACGGGUGAGUAACACGUGGAUAACCUACCUAUAAAACUGGGAUAACUUCGGGAAACCGGAGCUAAUACCGGAUAAUAUAUUGAACCGCAUGGUUCAAUAGUGAAAGACGGUUUUGCUGUCACUUAUAGAUGGAUCCGCGCCGCAUUAGCUAGUUGGUAAGGUAACGGCUUACCAAGGCAACGAUGCGUAGCCGACCUGAGAGGGUGAUCGGCCACACUGGAACUGAGACACGGUCCAGACUCCUACGGGAGGCAGCAGUAGGGAAUCUUCCGCAAUGGGCGAAAGCUUGACGGGGCAACGCCGCGUGAGUGAUGAAGGUCUUCGGAUCGUAAAACUCUGUUAUUAGGGAAGAACAAAUGUGUAAGUAACUAUGCACGUCUUGACGGUACCUAAUCAGAAAGCCACGGCUAACUACGUG